rnacentral:lncRNA from 1 species
UCUUAUUACUGUGGGGUGUAUCACUAGUGUGAUGUCUCUGACCUGCGCUAUCAGCCAAACGGAAUAAGCUAUCCCUUAUACAAGUCCUUGUUUCCAUAUCUAACUGCAGGUCAAUAAGUAGUAUUAGUUUACUUUCAACAUAAAGGUCAACUAACAUAACAUAACAAACCAGUUGAGUACCUUUGCUACAACAUCUUGAAGCCGAUAAAGAACCGAGAAUUCUGAUGGAUUAUCAACAGCAGCAGCAAAGUUUCCAGAAUCAUCUAGUUCCAGAGAUGAAUUGGGAUCAAAGGAAGGUAUUGCGGUUAGCCCUUGAAGACUAGUUUUGUCGACAAGCUGAGUAAUUGACUGAUCUGCUACAGGAACCUGGUGACGAAAUUGCUGCUGUUGUCUCUGAA